rnacentral:rRNA from 1 species
UAUGGUAAUUGUGUCAGCCGCGGUAAAACGUAGGUCACAAGCGUUGUCCGGAAUUACUGGGUGUAAAGGGAGCGCAGGCGGGAGAACAAGUUGGAAGUGAAAUCCAUGGGCUCAACCCAUGAACUGCUUUCAAAACUGUUUUUCUUGAGUAGUGCAGAGGUAGGCGGAAUUCCCGGUGUAGCGGUGGAAUGCGUAGAUAUCGGGAGGAACACCAGUGGCGAAGGCGGCCUACUGGGCACCAACUGACGCUGAGGCUCGAAAGUGUGGGUAGCAAACAGG